AUUAAACGCUGGCGGAAUGCUUUACACAUGCAAGUCGAGCGGCAGCGCGGGGGCAACCCUGGCGGCGAGCGGCGAACGGGUGAGUAACAUAUCGGAACGUACCCCGUCGUGGGGGAUAACACAGCGAAAGCUGUGCUAAUACCGCAUACGACCUGAGGGUGAAAGCGGGGGAUCGCAAGACCUCGCGCGAUGGGAGCGGCCGAUAUCGGAUUAGCUUGUUGGUGAGGUAAAGGCUCACCAAGGCGACGAUCCGUAGCUGGUCUGAGAGGACGACCAGCCACACUGGAACUGAGACACGGUCCAGACUCCUACGGGAGCAGCAGUGGGAAUUUUGGGACAAUGGGGGCAACCCUGGAUCCAGCCAUUCCGCGUGAGUGAAGAAGGCCUC
rnacentral:rRNA from 1 species